AUGUGGAAAAGGACAAGGAUAAGGGCUUUGUUUAGUGCCAUGGUGCCUGUUACAGACCUUGGGGCAUUGGGCUCUCUGUCCAGCUCUCUGUUGGGUAUGAUAAGCUGCAGAAUAGAGGUCACUGGGUCAUAGCUGGCCACUGCUUUGGGGCAGAGACACUAUCUCCAUCCAGUCCCCAGGAGGCUUUUAACGGGGUGCUUCCUCCUGUGAAAUGUCCCCUCAACCAGCAUGCAGCUCACAUUUGCUGUGCCACCUCACAGUGACAGCUCACACAGCCAGAUCUUCACUAUGGCAACAGGCAAAGCUGCUGAUGUGGAUGGCAGAUGGCUGUGGCAGUGGUUGGGGAGCUGGCUGCGUAGAGGAACAGUGUCAUCAGGGCCUGUAAGUCUGCACAAUUGGCACACAGAGCUGGGCUUCUCACCUGGGCUCUUUGGGAUGCUGCUCUGGGAAAGUUCCUUCCUCUGGCCGACCACAGGUCAUCACACUUAAGGGGGAAGAGAUGAACAAAGACACCUUCAGAGGAGAGAAGCCAAAACCAGAAGGUAAUCAGAAAUGAGGUCAACAGGAUGAAUCCCACUGUUACGUUGCUAGAGCCCUUCUGCUGUGGUGUUAAGAUGUGCCCCUGGAAUUUUAAAUUUGGUAAAACCCUGGAAACUGAAGAUAAAAAAGAGAAGACCAGCUCUGCAUGGUGAUGUCUAAUGGAAAAAUGAAGAAGUACCUGACAAGUGUCUGUAUGGGGGUUUGGGAGCCAAAAUCUCCCCAGCACCUCCUGUCCUAAUACUGUGUUCCGCCCUUUGAUUUUUCUAAGGCUCAUGCUCAUGAACUCAAACAAUAAAAUAAUUGUGAG
rnacentral:lncRNA from 1 species